rnacentral:pre_miRNA from 1 species
AGUGAUGGCUGACACUCCUUCCUUAACUCAUACCGCUGUGCCUGCCUUCUUUCUUUCACAAUUGUGUGAGUUGAGUUCAGAGUGUCAGUCCAACCCUGC